rfam:Brassica napus, WGS project CCCW01000000 data, contig: 15253
GUAAUAUAGGAACCCGUUUCUUAACUUUUAACUAAAAAAACUAAGAACCGGUUCUCAAAUAAAAGUUUUAAGAGCCGGUUCUUAACUUUUUUAGUUAAAAGUUAAGAGACGGGUUCUUAUAUUCU